AAACCUUUACACUGCACGACAGUGCGAUAGGGGAUCCCAAGUGCACAGGCAUAGCGCCUGUGCUUUUCGGUACCGUAAGGUGGUACCAGAAUAAGGGCUGGGCAAGACCGGUGCCAGCCGCCGCGGUAAUACCGGCAGCCCAAGUGAUGGCCGAUCUUAUUGGGCCUAAAGCGUCCGUAGCUGGCCGCGCAAGUCCAUCGGGAAAUCCACCUGCUCAACAGGUGGGCGCCCGGUAGAAACUGCGUGGCUUGGGACCGGAAGGCGCGACGGGUACGUCCGGGGUAGGAGUGAAAUCCCGUAAUCCUGGACGGACCGCCGAUGGCGAAAGCACGUCGCGAGGACGGAUCCGACAGUGAGGGACGAAAGCCAGGGUCUCGAACCGGAUUAGAUACCCGGGUAGUCCUGGCCGUAAACAAUGUCUGCUAGGUGUGGCUCCCACUACGAGUGGGUGCUGUGCCGUAGGGAAGCCGCUAAGCAGACCGCCUGGGAAGUACGUCCGCAAGGAUGAAACUUAAAGGAAUUGGCGGGGGAGCACUACAACCGGAGGAGCCUGCGGUUUAAUUGGACUC
rnacentral:rRNA from 1 species